UCGGCCGAGCAGUGAGGUGAGCCCGUGUGUCAAGCAGAGAAGAGCCAGAGCCCCUUCUGACACUGGGCGCAGGGGGGAGCGGGUGCUUACGCCAGAAGAGGCGUGCAGCCUUGUUUAUUUUCAUUUCUGCGAUUGAAAAUGCUCACUUCCUAGGCCCCUCGGCUCGGUAUGGCUGUUCCUUUAAAGAGAAAAAGGAAGUGUGGUCCUGGCAGAGUGAACCGAAGCAAUAAAAAAUAAAUCUUGGUAAUUGUUGUGGAGACAGAAAGCAAAACAAACCGGACUUAAGUACAUUGUAAGAAAAUGUCAGCGUCGGAGGCCGGGCCAUUAGCGUGCGAAAUCACUCCUCUCCCCGGAGGAGCCUCUGGACGGGGACCAGCCUGUUUGAUUUUCUGCAUUCCUCAUUCUGGGGUUUCUUGGAACGUCAGACUACUGCGUUUUUUUUCUUUUUCCUGAAAAGGACGGGUGGCUUCAGAGAUGUCGAUUGGAGAAACGUCAGGAAGGAGCCUGAAGGGAGACAGCCGUCUGCGAGCCGACCCGCUCAACAGCGGUUCCUGGGCCCCGGGGCCCGCAGGGCCGAAGGACAGGCAGCACUUGGAUGGCACAGCCGCUGGGCCGCUGCUCCCAACACGGAGGAGAACAGCCCCACGUGGGCCAGACGCUGAGCAGCGCUCCACCGACACGCGCUCGGUGUGAAAUGGUUCUCUCCAGAGAGCAGACCCAUGGCCAGGCCUGGCCAGUCGAGUUCCUUCAUGAAUUGUAUGUCUAUCUGCUGAGGAGAGAGUGACUUCCACUUACUUCUUGGAUCUCCAAGACCCCUCC
rnacentral:lncRNA from 1 species